AUGAGCUUUAAUUCUCUAUCCAAGCAUAAUCUGAGCAAUAAUAAUAAGCACAUCAGGACAAUUUGUUUACUGUGGCUUUGCACAGACUGCAGAGCUAUGAGAAAGUACAGCACAGCCCCAGCAACUCUCAGCAUCCCUGUACCAGGCUCACUCACACUCACACUGAUUGGAAUGGAGAAGAAAUAUGUCUAUGGAGAUACUGUAACUCACCCCUCAAAACGGUAAGUGAUCAUCACUCUGUGACAUUGUAACUGGUGAACAUUUGACCUGCGGUAAAGCAAUAUAAUUGACACAGUGAUCCAGUAACUGAAAGAGAUGUUUAGAGAGCAAAAAAAUUCACACAUAGUUUGCCAUAUAGUUUAUGCUUUAUGGUGUUUGUAAUAUUAAUAAUAAUAAUAAUAAUAAUAAUAAUAAUUAAUAAUAUCUAUUACAAUAUAUAUAUAUAUUUACAUACCAUCAUAUAUUACACACAAAUGAGAAAGGUGUGUGUGUGUGUAUAUAUAUAUAUAUAUUUUUUUUACAUUUAUUUAUUUAAUAAAAUAUAUACUGUAUAUUAUAUAUUAUACAUUAUUUUUAUUAAUAAAAAGAAUAUUACAUAAAUAUACAGUAGUUUGAAAGAAUGUCAUAUAUCAUUUUUAUUUAAAAUAUAUAGAAAAGUCAUAUAGUAUUUAUUUUAUCGGAGAGAUAUGCUUCCUAUAUCUUUAUUUACUGAACACUGACUUAGUUACCGACUUGUGUAAAUCAGCACAAUUUAAUCUAACUCUCUCCGGUAAAAUAAAAAUAAAAAUUAUAAUAUUAAUAAUAAUAAUAAUAAUAAUAAUAAUAAUAAUAAUAAUAUCUAUAUAUAUUCCAAUUCUGUUCCUCAUUUGGCCACUCUUCUCCAAACUCACCGUUUAGUAAAUAACCUCCCUCGCUUGUAAAUCCGAUACUUUUAUCCUGUGAAAUAUCAGCAUUUCUAAUAUAUGAAUCUCCUUUCUAUUAACCCCAUGAGUGCUGGUGGAUUAUGCCCUAUGCAUUCCUCAGCAAUAAAGUAUCCCUUACACUGUCUGGGACAGGUCCAAUAACCCCCCCUCCAAAAAUAAAAUUAAAAAAUAAGGAGAAAUAUUUGAUAUCAAGCUGUACCGUGAUUUUCUCACUUCUCUGGGGGUGAGUGGGUUAAGCCACAGGGCACAGCAAGUGUGGAAACAACAUUAGUAUCAGAUUAUGAAAUAUAUUCUGACACAUUGUGUCUUUAUGCUAUUUUUUUUUAUUUGCAAACAAGAUACAUGUAUUCCUAAUUUGCUUCCAAGUUUAUUCAAUUUGUCCUGCAUUCUCACUCCCAUUAAAGUAUUUUAAUAAUAAGCGUGGUUCUGUCCAAAUGUUUGAUUUUUCUUUUUUUCCCUCCCUCAUUCUGGCUAUAGACUGAAACAUUAGCUGCAUUCCCUGGGGCUGAUUGGAUGCAAUUCGCACAAAGUCGACAGCUACGUCCUGGAUGUUAAAAAUUCACUUUGGCUGAACCUGACAAGGCUGAGUUCGAUCUACAAUUGUAUUUGAAAGCGCAGCCAGCGUAAAAAUCUCCCAUCAUUAGGCUCCCCUCUCCUUCAGCAAAAUAACUAGAUUUUGCUCACACACACACACAAAAAAAAAAAAUACAUAAAAAAACAAUAAUAUUUAUAUUUUUCUGUAACAGAAAAAAACAACAACAAACUUAAACAAAACACUAAAUAAAUAUUCAAUUAAAAAAAUCUACAUUCUAUUCUAUCCAUGUGAUGAAAGCUGACUCUUAACCCUUUGGAUGACAGAGGUGCCCAAUUCAGUGCUUUCCAAAGAGCCAGGAGCACCUCUGGCCCUCAAAGGGUUAAAGAAAAUCUUGAAUAAAGAUGCCAAUUCUAAAAGGGGGGUGUGGGGGAGCGAUUUGCACUUAUGCCUUGACCCCUGUAAUUGGAUUAAAUAUAGACUAGAACUUCCAAAAAAAACACCAAGAUUGACACCUGCCAAGUGGCCUUCCUUGUGAUUGAUUGUGAUGAUUCGUGCUGGCUACAAUAAUGUAAUAAAUUGUAUGGAUAAAACCGAAGCAUUUGUUAUUUCCGUGCCAUCAAACAGGAAGUCAGAGAGUGACUGCAGCUGUUACAUGACAGCCAGAAAGAACUCAGCAGAGACAAACAGGGACUGCAGACAUUGACAAGCAAAAUUAUAACUUGCCACCUUCCUUUUACAUACACAAGUUUUCAAUUAACAUAUAUAUUGCUGUUACAUAUAAGAUUAGGGUGACCUAAUGUGGGCAUCUGUGAUAUCCUGCUGUAUGGAGGCUCUGGAAUCCAGGGACCCACAUUCAGGGGUGGCCACAAUGUACCCCCCACCCCUCAAUACUCCUGAUGGAAUUGGGAGCCUAAACCAACAAUGUAAAUCUUAACUACAACUCCCAUGAUGCUUUGCCAAAUGAGUUGUAGUAAUGCUGACGUUUCUGGUGAUGAUGGUAGUUGGGGCUACCUUUGCUGGCCACCCCUAGCCCCACAUAAGUACUAGUAGCAGUGGAUAUGGUCCUGAUACAUGGAGUUCCAGUUUGGGUUCCAGAGGGAUAUCAGUGAUGUUUGGUGUUUUUCUGUUUGGUGUUGGGUGUUGAAAGUUAUCUUGCAUUUUGUUUUAGGGCCUUAUUUGUUUACAAGCAGAGACUGUAGUUUAUUUCUUAUUAAAUGUCUUAAUGGGCUAAUGAUCCAUGGUAUUAUUUUUCUGAAUGGCUGCUCUGUACGUGUCUUGUUCUGAUCUCUACUGAGUUUAUUCUUCAACCCUCUUAUCCACAGAUUGUAUCUCACCUCUGACUUGCUCUAUCUAUCUAUCUAUCUCUAUAUCUAUCUAUCUAUCUAAUAUCUAUCUAUCUAUCUAUCUAUCUAUCUAUUGUCUAUCUCUCUCUCUCUCUAUCUAUCCACUAUCUAUCUAUCUAUCUAUCUAUCUAUCUCUCUAUC